rnacentral:rRNA from 1 species
UACGUAGGGGGCAAGCGUUGUCCGGAAUCAUUGGGCGUAAAGGGCGCGUAGGUGGCCCGGUCAGCGUGCGGUGAAAGCUCGGGGCUCAACCCCGAGUCGGCCGUGCGAACUGCUGGGCUUGAGCACUGUAGAGGCAGGCGGAAUUCCGGGUGUAGCGGUGGAAUGCGUAGAGAUCCGGAAGAACACCGGUGGCGAAAGCGGCUCUCUGGGACGGUACUGACGCUGAGACGCGAAAGCGUGGGGAGCGAACAGG